rnacentral:lncRNA from 1 species
CACUGCUAUAGCUACAAACUGCUCAAGGGCUGAAGAUGGCCUGCUUUCUUUUUCUCUUUUUCUGGACAUCAUUUGAUUGUGACUGUGACUCGUACUCAUGGGUAAGGUUGAAAAGGCAGGCUAUUUCUAUAAUGCAGUGAGAGCUGUGAUCAUUUAGGUGCUAGUCUCCUAAAUUAUUCCUACUCUUUGCUUCUCAUCAGAACAUCUAAUUCAGAUAAGUGUUGUCCUCUUUUAAAGGUAUCCAGGGGAGGAAGCUGUACUUUCCCAUUUAAUAAUCUAAUACCAUUCCAUAAUAGUUUUUGACAUUGAGACUUUAUAAUUAUGUAUCUAACACAAAUUAUUUUAUCCCGCCAUGUUACCUCAUAGAAAAAAUAGCAGAGACAAUUUGGGGACCUGCUGACAGAUUUAGAAGAAACUCAUGCUUCCUCACUUGGAGGAAUUUUGGAAUGUAGACUACUGUGUUAUUGUUAGAAGUUUGAAACUGACGUCUUACAAGAAAUUCUUUCCUCACAGAAGUCUAGUUCACAGACCCAACUGUCACUACAUAUAUGGAGCCUGUUCUGUGUGCUGUAAUAAUAUUAGGGGGAGGAGCUGGAAUUAUUGUCACUAGUGGAGUUAUCUCAAGGGGGGUGUGUUCCUGAGGCUAUAGGCUGGAGCUUGGAAGGUCUUUUUCACACAGAAACAGUGGUAGUUAGAUCUUUAUGAUAGAUAUAUUUCAUCAUCCAGUCUCAUUGUGUAUUAAAUGUGCCUGUGUGACAUAGUCUGUA